rnacentral:rRNA from 1 species
AAUGAACGCUGGCGGCGUGCAUAACACAUGCAAGUCGAACGAGAAACUCCGAGCUUGCUCGGGGGAGUAAAGUGGCGCACGGGUGAGUAACGCGUGGGUAACCUGCCCUUGAAUCUGGAAUAACUCGCCGAAAGGCGGACUAAUACCGGAUAUUGUUCCCGAGGCGCAUGUUUUGGGAAUGAAAGGUGACCUCUUCAUGAAAGUUGCCGUUCAGGGAGGGGCUCGCGUACCAUUAGCUAGUUGGUAGGGUAAUAGCCUACCAAGGCGACGAUGGUUAGCUGGUCUGAGAGGAUGAUCAGCCACACUGGAACUGGAACACGGUCCAGACUCCUACGGGAGGCAGCAGUGAGGAAUUUUGCGCAAUAGGGAAACCCUGACGCAGCAACGCCGCGUGAGUGAU